ACUCUGUUCUAUUAGAUAGGUAACUCUGUGUUCUAUUAGAUAGGUAACUCUGUUCUAUUAGAUAGGUAACUCUGUGUUCUAUUAGAUAGGUAACUCUGUGUUCUAUUAGAUAGGUAACUCUGUGUUCUAUUAGAUAGGUAACUCUCAAUACAUAAUAAGGCAGAGGAUGCAAAUCCAUAACACAUACAUUUAGUCAGCAAUAGGUUAUGAUCAAUGACAUCAAAAGCUGCACUGAAGUCAAACAAAACAGCUCUCACAAUCUUCUUACUAUCAAUUUCUUUCAGCCAAUGAUCAGUCAUUUGUGUCAGUGCUGAGCAUAUUGAGUGCCCUUCCCUAUAAGCAUGCUGAAAGUCUGUUAAUUUGUUUUCUGUAAAAUAUUUUUUUAUCUGAUCAAACACAAUUUUUCCCCAAAAGUUUGCUAAGCACUUGUAACAGGCUGAUUGGUUGGCUGUUUGAACCAUUAAAGGGUGCUCUGCUAUUCUUGGCUAGUGGAAUGACCUUUGACUCCCUCCAUGUCUGAGGGCACACUGUCUUCUAGGCUUAAAUUGAAGACGUGGGAAACAGGAGUCACAAUGUAUUCUGCUACCAACCUCAGCAAUGUAUCAUCCGGGUUGUCGGUACCAGGAGGUUUGUCCUUAUUUAUCGAUAGCAACAAUUGUUUCACCUCUUCCACACCCACUUUGUGGAAGUCAAAACUACACUACUUGUCUUUCAUUAUUUGGUCUAUUAUGCAUAAAUAUGAAGGCUAAGCAUUUGUUGAUUGCAUGUCUUACUCACCUCAAGUGGAUGGCAAUAUCAAAGGGUUUUGUUAUGAACAAGCUAUCUGUCUCAAUGAAAGAUGGAGCCGAGUUUGCUUUUUUUCCUAGAAUUUCAUUUAAUGUACUACAGAGCUUUUUACUAUCAUUCAUGUUUGUGCUAUAGUAUAGUUUCUUCUUUUUGUUUAGUUUAGUUACUGAAUUUCUCAAUGUACUGUAUGUUUCCCAGUCUGCUGUAUUGUCAGACUUAUCUGCUAUUCCCUUUGCCUCAUCCCUCUCAGCCAUACAGUUUUUCAAUUCAUCAUCUACCCAUGGAGAUUUGGAAGAUCUAACAGUCAGUUUCUUCAUCCGCGCAUGUCUGUCAGUAACCGGAAGAAGCAAUUUCAUAAAUGCUUAGUUUAGCAUCCAGAUGUUUCUCAUUACACACAUCAGACCAACAAAUAUUUUUCACAUCAUCGACAUAGAAAUCAUUGCGAAACCUCUUGCAUGAUCGUUUAUGCUCAAGGGCACAUCGACAUCAACAGAUUUUGCCCAGAUUUGCCCUUUGUAUUGAGCAGUCAUACACUGUGUGGCCCUAUUUCAGGAACCCACAUAUUUUCUGUCCAAGAUCAAAGACAUGAAUACAUGUUCCUUCUUAAAGUGAUGGUAGAGAGGUUUUGUAAAAAAAAAAAAAAUCCUGCAAUUCGUAUGUUAUGUUACGAAUUCCAAUUCAUACAAAAUGUUACAAAUUUGUAAGUGCUU
rnacentral:lncRNA from 1 species